UCUUGGUCAUUUAGAGGAAGUAAAAGUCGUAACAAGGUCUCCGUAGGUGAACCUGCGGAGGGAUCAUUACACAAAUAUGAAGGCGGGCUGGAACCUCUCGGGGUUACAGCCUUGCUGAAUUAUUCACCCUUGUCUUUUGCGUACUUCUUGUUUCCUUGGUGGGUUCGCCCACCACUAGGACAAACAUAAACCUUUUGUAAUUGCAAUCAGCGUCAGUAACAAAUUAAUAAUUACAACUUUCAACAACGGAUCUCUUGGUUCUGCAUCGAUGAAGAACGCAGCCCCCCCGUGCCCCCGCCCCGCCCGCCGCGCGCGGCGGGCG
rnacentral:rRNA from 1 species